rnacentral:rRNA from 1 species
GACGAAGGAUGCAAGCGUUAUCCGGAUUUAUUGGGUUUAAAGGGAGCGUAGGCGGUCUUAUAAGUCAGUGGUGAAAUCUCGUUGCUUAACAACGAACGUGCCAUUGAUACUGUAGGACUUGAGUACAGUUGCCGUUGGCGGAAUGUGUCAUGUAGCGGUGAAAUGCAUAGAUAUGACACAGAACACCGAUUGCGAAGGCAGCUGACGAAACUGUAACUGACGCUGAGGCUCGAAAGCGUGGGGAUCAAACAGG